UGCCAGCAGCCGCGGUAAUACGUACCGGACAAACGUUAUUCGGAAUCACUGGGCUUAAAGAGUGCGUAGGCGGCCUUUCAGGUGGGGUGUGAAAGCCCACGGCUCAACCGUGGAACUGCGCUCCAAACCGUUAGGCUUGAGGGAGACAGGGGUAAGCGGAACUGAUGGUGGAGCGGUGAAAUGCGUUGAUAUCAUCAGGAACACCAAUCGCGAAGGCAGCUGGCUAGAUCUGUAUUGACGCUGAGGCACGAAAGCGUGGGGAGCGAACAGGAUUAGAUA
rnacentral:rRNA from 1 species